AUUGAACGCUGGCGGCAUGCCUUACACAUGCAAGUCGAACGGCAGCAUGAUCUAGCUUGCUAGAUUGAUGGCGAGUGGCGAACGGGUGAGUAAUACAUCGGAACGUGCCCUGUAGUGGGGGAUAACUAGUCGAAAGAUUAGCUAAUACCGCAUACGACCUGAGGGUGAAAGUGGGGGACCGCAAGGCCUCAUGCUAUAGGAGCGGCCGAUGUCUGAUUAGCUAGUUGGUGAGGUAAAGGCUCACCAAGGCGACGAUCAGUAGCUGGUCUGAGAGGACGAUCAGCCACACUGGGACUGAGACACGGCCCAGACUCCUACGGGAGGCAGCAGUGGGGAAUUUUGGACAAAGGGCGAAAGCCUGAUCCAGCAAUGCCGCGUGUGUGGAGAAGGCCUUCGGGUUGUAAAGCACUUUUGUCCGGAAAGAAAUGGCUCUGGUUAAUACCUGGGGUCGAUGACGGUACCGGAAGAAUAAGGACCGGCUAACUACGUG
rnacentral:rRNA from 1 species